rnacentral:rRNA from 1 species
AACGAACGCUGGCGGCAUGCCUAACACAUGCAAGUCGAACGAGACCUUCGGGUCUAGUGGCUCACGGGUGCGUAACGCGUGGGAACCUGCCCUUAGGUUCGGAAUAACUCCCCGAAAGGGGUGCUAAUACCGGAUAACGUCUUCGGACCAAAGAUUUAUCGCCUUUGGAUGGGCCCGCGUUGGAUUAGCUAGUUGGUAGGGUAAAAGCCUACCAAGGCGACGAUCCAUAGCUGGUCUGAGAGGAUGAUCAGCCACACUGGGACUGAGACACGGCCCAGACUCCUACGGGAGGCAGCAGUGGGGAAUAUUGGAAAAUGGGCGAAAGCCUGAUCCAGCAAUGCCGCGUGAGUGAUGAAGGCCUUAGGGUUGUAAAGCUCUUUUACCCGGGAUGAUAAUGACAGUACCGGGAGAAUAAGCUCCGGCUAACUCCGUG